rnacentral:rRNA from 1 species
GGGGAGUACGGUCGCAAGACCGAAACUCAAAGGAAUUGACGGGGGCCUGCACAAGCGGUGGAGCAUGUGGUUUAAUUCGAUACAACGCGCAAAACCUUACCAGCCCUUGACAUAUGAACAACAAAACCUGUCCUUAACAGGAUGGUACUGACUUUCAUACAGGUGCUGCAUGGCUGUCGUCAGCUCGUGUUGUGAGAUGUUUGGUCAAGUCCUAUAACGAGCGAAACCCUCGUUUUGUGUUGCUGAGACAUGCGCCUAAGGAGAAAUUGCCACCGAGUGACGUGCCAGCGCUACUACUUGAUUGUGUGCCAGCACGUAGCUGUGCUUUCAGCAAGAAUUUCACCAUUGGGAGCCGGUGCCUUUCGAAGCACUUUCACGUGUGAACCGAAGUCGUCUUGCCCAAGACCCACGGAGACCUACCUAUAGUGACGUCAAAGUACCAGUGAGCAUGGAGGUUUGGUUGAAAUUGGUUACGACGACGUCGAGUUGGCGGCGGAGGAAGACUCGGCAUGAAGGCCAGAAAAUGGUGUGGAACGUAGUGGUAAUAGUACGCGCCCCGCUCCGAAACAAAGAAAAAGGUGCGUGCCGCACUCACGAGGGACUGCCAGUGAGAUACUGGAGGAAGGUGGGGAUGACGUCAAGUCCGCAUGGCCCUUAUGGGCUGGGCCACACACGUGCUACAAUGGCAAUGACAAUGGGAAGCAAGGCUGUAAGGCGGAGCGAAUCCGGAAAGAUUGCCUCAGUUCGGAUUGUUCUCUGCAACUCGGGAACAUGAAGUUGAAAUCGCUAGUAAUCGCGGAUCAGCAUGCCGCGGUGAAUAUGUACCCGGGCCCUGUACACACCGCCCGUCACACCCUGGGAAUUGGUUUCGCCCGAAGCAUCGGACCAAUGAUCACCCAUGACUUCUGUGUACCACUAGUGCCACAAAGGCCUUUGGUGGUCUUAUUGGCGCAUACCACGGUGGGGUCUUCGACUGGGGUGAAGUCGUAACAAGGUAGCCGUAGGGGAACCUGUGACUG